GGAAGUAUCAUGGCUUAGUGGCAGAGCCUCUGUUUUGCAUGCAGAAGGUCCCAUGUUCAAUCUCUGGCUUCUCCA